rnacentral:miRNA from 1 species
UGGAGUGUGACAAUGGUGUUAG